AUGGCAUUAUGGGUUAUUGUGUGUAAAUGGGUGAGAAACAAAAUACAUUUAAUCCAUUUUGAAUUCAGGCUGCAACACAAUAAAAUGUGGAAUAAGUCAAGGGGUAUGAAUACUUUCAGAAGUCACUGUACACUGUAUAUAUAUGGCAGGUAGCCUAGUGGUUAGAGCGUUGGGCCAGUAACUGAAAGGUUGGUAGAUCGAAUCCCUGAGCUGACAAUGUGGAAAUCUGUCUUUCUGCCCCUGAAAAAGGCAGUUAACCCAAAUUGUUCCUUGGCUUUCAUUGUAAAUAAGAAUUUGUUUUUAAUUGACUUGCCUAGUUAAAUAAAACAAAUAUAUAUAUUUACCAGUAGGCAUUGCUGUGGUGGAGCUUUUAAAGUGCGUUGGCUCACACCCUGUUUAGCCAACACUGCUCCAUUUAAGCAACCACUCCAGGAACAAAGGACAUACAAUAUGUGUGUCAAAGAGCUACGGGACUGUGAUGUGCAUAAAGUCUGCUUAGCAGGGGAGGCUUGGCAAGCAUAUAAAUCAUGCAAUGUAAUCACACUAAUAUGAUAGGCACUCUGGGGUGUCUGGCACUUCUAAUGAUGAUAGCAGGUCCCUCCACUUAUUCCUCCACUCUGUCACGUUUCUCUGCUCUGUCCCUGUCUCUGGAGCCAUGAAACAUCCCCUGACUUCCUCUCCUGCUUUAUCAUGCAUGGGACCUACACACACACACAACCUCUGUUUUAUCAUGCAUAGGACCUGAGGAGAAGUAGCGUUACCUCAGAGAAUAGCGAUAAGAGGGCUAAGGGCUAUCGCUCUCACCAGAGCCUUUAAACACGAACACUAUCUCUCUCUCCUACUCUCUUUCUCUCUUUCUUUCUUACCCCCCUCUCUCUCUCACUCUCACUCUCGCUCUCUCAAACACACACACACUAACAGCAGGACAUUAAUUUAAACACACAGUCUGAGCUGUAGUGGCUCACGUCCAACUACCUAUUUUGUUGUUGUUUUGAUCAUCUCCAUGAAUCGGUGGUUAGUUAGUAGUGUUCUGGUUGAAUGGAUGGUUAGUUAGUAGUGUUCUGGUUGAAUGGAUGGUUAGUUAGUAGUGAUCUGGUUGAAUGGAUGGUUAGUUAGUAGUGUUCUGAUUGAAUGGAUGGGUAGUUAGUAGUAUUCUGUUUGAAUGGAUGGUUAGUUAGUAGUGUUCUGGUUGAAUGGAUAGUAAGUUAGUAGUGUUCUGGUUGAAUGGAUGCUUAGUUAGUAGAGUUCUGAUUGAAUGGAUGGGUAGUUAGUAGUAUUCUGGUUGAAUGGAUGGUUAGUUAGUAAUGUUCUGGUUGAAUGGAUAGUUAGUUAGUAGUGUUCUGGUUGAAUGGAUGGUUAGUUAGUAGUUAGUGUUCUGGUUGAAUGGAUAGUUAGUUAGUAGUGUUCUGGUUGAAUGGAUGGUUAGUUAGUAGUGUUCUGAUUGAAUGGAUGGGUAGUUAGUAGUAUUCUGGUUGAAUGGAUGGUUAGUUGGUAAUGUUGUGGUUGAAUGGAUGGUUAGUUAGUGGUGUUCUGGUUGAAUGGAUGGUUACUAGUGUUCUGGUUGAAUGGAUGGUUAGUUAGUGGUGUUCUGGUUGUGUUCUUGUUGAAUGGAUGGUUAGUUAGUAGUGUUCUGGUUGAAUGGAUGGUUACUAGUGUUCUGGUUGAAUGGAUAGUUAGUUAGUGGAGUUCUGGUUGAAUUGAUGGUUAGUUAGUGGUGUUCUGGUUGUCUUCUGGUUGAAUGGAUGGUUAGUUAGUGGAGUUCUGGUUGAAUUGAUGGUUAGUUAGUGGUGUUCUGGUUGUGUUCUGGUUGAUUGGAUGGUUAGUUAGUGGUGUUCUGGUUGAAUGGAUGGUUAGUUAGUGGUGCUCUGGUUGAAUGGAUGGUUAGUUAUUGGUGUUUUGGAUGAUUAGUUAGUGGUGUUCUGGUUGAAUGGAUGGUUAGUUAGUGGUGUUUUGGAUGAUUAGUUAGUGGUGUUCUGGUUGAAUGGAUGGUUAGUUAGUGGUGUUUUGGAUGAUUAGUUAGUGGUGUUCUGAUUAAAUGGAUGGUUAGGUAGUGGUGUUCUGAUUUAAUGGAUGGUUUGUUGGUAGUGCUCUGGUUGAGGUCUGGUUCUGUGGAUGGAGGGUGUACACGGAGAAGAAGUUGGAGCUCUCUGGCGUUACCUUCCUGUGUUCAGUUCAGUCAACACAUCCAGGGUCAGGUGAAGGAAGGGUGUGGUGUUGAGAUGAGUUGCCCUUCAGAUGGUCAAACAGACCAGUGGAGGAUGGGAAGAAAGAGAGAAGUGAGAGAGGAGUGAAAUGGUAGAGGACAGUGGAUGGACCCCUGAGAUGGAAACACAGUGAAAUAUUUACAUUACCCAGAGAGAAGAAAAGGCACUGCGGCCUCCCACUCUCUCUCCCC
rnacentral:lncRNA from 1 species